rnacentral:rRNA from 1 species
UACAUGGGGUGCAAACGUUGCUCGGAAUUAUUGGGCGUAAAGCGCACGUAGGCGGUUUGUUAAGUCGGAUGUGAAAUCCCUCGGCUCAACUGAGGAAGUGCAUCCGAAACUGGCAAGCUUGAGUACGAAAGAGGGUCGCGGAAUUCCCGGUGUAGAGGUGAAAUUCGUAGAUAUCGAGAGGAACACCGGUGGCGAAGGCGGCGAUCUGGACGAUGACUGACGCUGAGACGCGAAAGCGUGGGGAGCAAACGGG